CACAACUUCACCAUCACAACCAUACACAUAUCACCCGCACAUUCAAAGUCAACCAAAUUCAUUGACCAACAAUUAAUUAAAAUACUCAAAUAAUUAAGUAAAUCAAUUUUUCACAAUCAAAUAAAUUUAAUUAUUUUCCUGCUGGCACACCCCUAUGAAAUUAAUAAUCUCACCCUUCCAUUCCACUAGAACCAAUAUUUCUAGUGCACCCCCGCUUUUACUAAAAUCACAACACAUAAUAAAACACAUUUUUUCAUGUACCCCUUUUUAUUUAAAUACACACCCUCUCUUAAGUUUACCAAACCAAAUGGACCCCAUUAAUGUUUUUAAUUUUAAACUUAAACUUUAUUUUACUCUCUCUCCAAGUGGACCCCACUUGAAUUAUUCUUUUCUCACAAAACUCUCUUUCUCUCUCCAUUUUUCCUACUUUACGUAAACAAACUUUCUCUCCCUUCUCUCUUUUGCUUUUAUUUCCCAUACACAAAAUUUCAUUCACUCAUCUUUUCUCACAUGGACCCCACUUCUCACUUUAUUUGACUUUUCAAACUAAACCAUUCCUUCCUCUCACCAAAGUCACGUAACCCCUCCCUAAAUCCCUUUUAUUUUAUUUUUUUCUCUUCACUCUCCCAACCUCAUUUACGUACACACACACACACACACACACACUUGUACACUACAAUCCUUUCAUUCCACUCUUCUCUCUCCUCCACUCAAUGCUCACGGUCUCACACAGUAUCCCACAUACUUUUAUUUUUCUUUUUCACUCACACUCUCUACCAUUUACGUAUCAACACUACAACACCUAUAUUUCUUCUUUUGACUUUUCAACACCAAAAUCUCUCUCAUUCUCCUCACCCAAGCUUCACACCCAUGCGUAAACACACCCAAGUCACACAAUGCAUUUUUAUUUCUUCAACCCUUAUUUAACUUAUCCUUCUUUGCUUCCAAAGACCCUUCAAGCUUCUCUCUUCACGGUUGUUGCUCCUCUUGCAGCCCCUUUCUUUUUCUUUGCCAAUUCCAUGUUUUUCCUUCAUGAUCUUAUUAUUCCCGUGCAACCAAGCUUCUUCUUUCUUCACCAUUUCAUCAACCCCAUAUACCCAAUCUCACAAAAACAUCACUUUCACUCCUCUUAUACUCAUAACUCACUCUUUUCUCUUCCAACAAUGGGAGAGAACUCUCAAUACCCUCCUACCAACACUCUUGGUCAAAGAGUGUAGAUAAGCAUUCCACAAAAAUAUUAUAAUUCAUACAUGGUAAUAAGGAAACAAGAUGCACACAAUAUAACAUGAUUUUAAGUGUACCCAUAAAACUUUUUCAUACACAUACAUCACCCCAAAGUGNCCAAAACAUGUGUACCCAUUUAAAGAACAACACUUUUUUGAAAAACCAACAUGUAAAGUUCAAAGUAUACCCAUAACUAAAAAAAAAAACGAAAAUAACAAUAUAUAUACAACCCAAAGUAUACCCCUUCACAACCCCAAUUUUUGAAAAUGCAUGAAAAUAAUCAUUCUCCAUACAACAACACAUGAAACUAAGCACAAAAGGAGAGAGCAUGCCUCAACAUAUUAACUUUAAUCUCAACACAAAAGAAAGAGAACAUGCAUCAACAUUAUCAUGUUACCUUCUACCCAUCAUACACUAUAUUAUAUCCCAAGUUAAACCCCUUACCUCUAGUUCCAAGCAAGCUUCCAAAGGCUCUUAGGUUUCCUCCCUUCACUAGACUCCAAGUCUUCACUCCUCUAAGACUCUCUCAAGUCACGGCCACCACCCAAACACUAGGAUGUUCUUCUUUCUCUCACCAACUUGAUUGGUCUAGAACAUUGUUGUGUUUCUCCAUUCACUCUCACGGCUCUCUCUCUCUAUUUUUCUCUCCAAGUUUUUAUUUUUUUUUCUAACUUAAAGUUACACAUUUAAGUGGAGACUAACUCUCAAUCCUACUAACCCUUAACCACUUUAUUCUAGGUCACUCCCAAGGGCACCCUUAAGCCAUUUCAGAUUUUUCCCAUUUCUAACUCCACAUUAACACCAAUAAAAACUCUCUUUAAUGUGUGUAAAUGGUAGUUUUUAAAAGGUGUUAAAGUGCCCCUUAACUCUCAUUUAUGUAACCUACAAUUACUAAUAGAAUGGUAACCUCCCACAAGGAAAUCAAAUGUCACUUAAUAUUUCCAAAGCUAUGAGAAAGUGUGCCCAACACCCAUGCAAAGUAAAAAAAAGAACAAUGGAAAGCUAAUGGCCAUGCAUUCUAAUGUAAAGAAUGAAUGAGGAGCAACACCCCUCCUCUGGAACGUUCACACUUCCAUAAGCAACCCAACGUUUUCUCUCUCCAACCAUGCAAUGGAAAAACAUAAAAUCAAUAAAAAAAUAUUCAAUGAAAGGCACAUAACACACACACACACGUGAAACUACUCUCCUUCCACUUUCUCACUCCAAAAUCCACACAUACAAUACCAAUAAAAAUAAU
rnacentral:lncRNA from 1 species